GAUUGAACGCUGGCGGCCGGCCUACCACAUGCAAGUCGAACGGUAACAGGAAACAGCUUGCUGUUUCGCUGACGAGUGGCGGACGGGUGAGUAAUGUCUGGGAAACUGCCUGAUGGAGGGGGAUAACUACUGGAAACGGUAGCUAAUACCGCAUAACGUCGCAAGACCAAAGAGGGGGACCUUCGGGCCUCUUGCCAUCGGAUGUGCCCAGAUGGGAUUAGCUAGUAGGUGGGGUAACGGCUCACCUAGGCGACGAUCCCUAGCUGGUCUGAGAGGAUGACCAGCCACACUGGAACUGAGACACGGUCCAGACUCCUACGGGAGGCAGCAGUGGGGAAUAUUGCACAAUGGGCGCAAGCCUGAUGCAGCCAUGCCGCGUGUAUGAAGAAGGCCUUCGGGUUGUAAAGUACUUUCAGCGGGGAGGAAGGGAGUAAAGUUAAUACCUUUACUCAUUGACGUUACCCGCAGAAGAAGCACCGGCUAACUCCGUG
rnacentral:rRNA from 1 species